rnacentral:rRNA from 1 species
UACGUAGGGGUGCGAACGUUGUCCGGAAUUAUUGGGCGUAAAGAGCUCGUAGGCGGUCUGUUGCGUCGGGCUCGUGAAAACCCGGGGCUCAACCCCGGGCCUUGCAGCCGAUACGGGCAGACUAGAGUUCGGCAGGGGAGACUGGAAUUCCUGGUGUAGCGGUGAAAUGCGCAGAUAUCAGGAGGAACACCGGUGGCGAAGGCGGGUCUCUGGGCCGAUACUGACGCUGAGGAGCGAAAGCGUGGGGAGCGAACAGG